AGUCAAUCCCAGAAUGCAAUUUUUACAUCACCAACAGGUGAAGAAAACCUCAUGAAUAGCAGUCACAGAGACUCGGAGAGCAUCACUGUAGGCAUGACUGGAAAAAAAUGGACAUAUGGAAGAGACAUUUGGAGGAUAAAAUGGUAGAGAAGAAGUUGUCAAGCCUGGGCAAGAGUAAUAAAUGGAACAUUAUCAGAAUGUGGAAGCAAGGUGGAAGAGCUAGUCUAAAGAAUAUUUAGCUUAAUCUACUAAGCCUGGAUUGUACACUCAUUUUUAAUAUUACAUUUUGGAAGUAGGGACUUCAUGACCUUGAAUUUUCACAGGAUUUCGUUAAUAUCUAUUUGAAGAAAACGUCUAGGGACUAGUAUCUCUUGUAAUGAAUGUCACUUUUGUUCUUCAUUUCCACUAUACGCUUGAAUACCUAAUAGUCUGUUUUUAGCUCUGCAUGUAUUUAUAGUCAACUUCUCUUCCUGAGUAUUAAAAUGACAAUCUAUAUGUAAUAUAUGUGCAGCAGGAAAAAUUCGGAUAAUCACAUGGAACUUGUAAUAAUAGAAUUUGGAUAUAUGUUCAGGUCUCUUAUUUAAGAGCUCUGUAAGGAUUGAGAGCUUAUUUAGAAUCAUAUUUAAGGUUUUAAAUCUACCUCAUCUCUGUCUCAUUGUGAUGAUCAAGCCACUGCUUCUCCUUCUGGGUGAAUAGGGAUGUCUGAUAUUGCCAGCCUCCUUGUAUUUAACUUAUUAAAAUGUCAUUUUUAAGUCAAGGUCAAGUAGUAGGAAUUUACUCUCUUAAGGAUUUGUGUUCUUAACCAGUACUUUGUUGUUCUUUGCCAGAGCUAGAGCAUGUUUCAUUAUACUACCCACAAAGGAAAUACCACAUCUCUUUAAAAGUGAGAGGGCUGACAUGACAUCCUGUAUUUUCUCUAUUUUAAGCCCUAGUAUUUUAAGCAUGUUAACAGGAAUAACUCUCCUUUUUUGUAAACAGCUAAGUUUGGGAGGUGUUAAAUGCUGGGCAGUACUGGGAACAGGAAGAUAGUGGCAGAUACAUAAAGACACAAAAGCCCAGUUUUGUUCAGAGGUGGGGGGUGGGUGUUGUAGGUGUGCAAGUGAGAGAGUAGUGAUGUAAAUAGUAUUCAGUGAGUACCUGGGUGCCUUAAUUGUUUAUUUUAAUUACUUCUUAUUACUGUUGUGAGUGAUAAACGAUCUUUAUUUUACAAAUGAGAGAAAUUAAGGCUCUGAAAGGAUAAAUCGUGUGUCUAACUUAAUUAGUAGAGGAGUCACAUUCAGAAGCUACGUCUGAUGCCAAAACCCAGGAUCUUUCUAAUAUUAAGAAUGAAAAAUAAGGCAAUAAGUAGAUUAGACACCUGGAGGAAUUAGGAAAUAUGUAGGACUAAUACUGUAUGUUGGAGACAUGAUGUGUAGGAACUUGCUUUCUAGGACAAGUUGUCAGCCUUUGUCCUGUAAAUGGCAGAUAGCAACAAGAAUGGGUACAGUGCUGGAUAGGAAGUCAAGACACACAUCUGGUGGUUCUGUUGUCCUCGGCAAGUUACCCAUCUUUAAGUCUCAGUUUCCUAAUCUAGGAGGCAGGAUUGGAUGGUUUCUGAAAGUACCUUCUACCUUUAAUACUCUGUAAUUAUUUAGAUACUAUAGCAACCUUAUUUUAGUAAUCUUGAUUUGAUCUCUAGUUCUAAAAACUCAAUAGUAAUACAGUAAUAAAAGUAGCUGACAAUAGGUCUUUCAGUCUUUUUUGCCCUCCCUUAUUCUCUGUCCCCAGUCCCUCCCCUCCCUACCCCUUUCCCUCAUCCAGCUCAGGCGGUGUUUGUGCUCUGUUUGUGCCUGUGGGGGUGGUGGAAGCGAUGGAGUAAGCAGGAGGCAGCUGCCAGGUGCGAAAGCAGAGCAGGAACCGCCUGUGUUUAGGGGGCGGGGAAAAGGAGCCCCAGCUCUACCCCUCCUGGAAGGAGAGGGAAAAGGUAACUAUGACUGCCCAAUAUUGCAGCCAUGGAGUCCAUGUGGUAAUAAAUUGAAGAGUACUGUUACAGAAGUAACAGCUGAUGUCACUAGUGCUGUAAUGGGAAAUCCUGUCACUAGAGAAUUUGAUGUUGGUCGACACAUUGCCAGUGGUGGCAGUGGGCUAGCUUGCGAGAUUUUUAAUGGCACAAAAAAGUCAACAAAGUAGUGGCUGUUUUUGUCUUUGAUGAAAAAUGAUUGACAAAUAUCAAAAAUUUGAAAAGGAUCAAAUCAUCGAUUCUCUAAAACAAAGAGUCCAACACUUAACUUGACUUCAACACCCUCGACUUCUUACUGUCCAGCAUCCUUUAGAAGAAUCCAGGGAUUCCUUGGCAUUUUGUACAGAACCAGUUUUUGCCAGUUUAGCCAGUGUUCUUGGUAACUGGGAAACUCUACCUUUCCCUAUGUCUCCAGACAUUAAGGAUUAUAAACUUUAUGAUGUAGAAACCAAAUGUGGUUUGCGUCGGGUUUCUGAAGGCUUGUCAUUCUUGCAUAGCAGUGUGAAAAUGGUACAUGGAAAUAUUACUCCUGAAAAUACAAUUGUGAAUAAAAAUGGAGCCUGGAAAAUAAUGGGUUUUGAUUUUUGUGUAUCAUCAAGCAAUCCUUCUGAACAAGAGCCUAAAUUUCCUUGUAAAGAAUGGGACCCAAAUUUAACUUCAUUGUGUCUUCCAAAUCCUGAAUAUUUGGCUCCUGAAUACAUACUUUAUGUGAACUGUGAAACAGCCAGUGAUUUGUAUUCUUUAGGAACUGUUAUGUAUGCUGUAUUUAAUAAAAGGAAACCUAUAUUUGAAGUCAAUAAGCAAGAUAUUUACAAGAGUUUCAGUAGGCAGUUGGAUCAGUUGAGUUAUUUAGGACCUAAUUCACUUACAAAUAUACCUGAGGAAGUUCGUGAACAUGUAAAGCUACUGUUAAAUGUAACUCCAACAUUUAACAGUAAGACCAGAUGCAGAUCAAAUGACAGAUUCCCUUCUUUGAUGAUGUUGGUGCAGUAACACUGCAAUGUUUUGAUACCUUAUUCCAAAGAGAUUAUCUUCAGAAAUCACAGUUUUUCAACAGACUGUCAAAGGUUCUACUGCCCAAGCAUGUCAUUGUGCAGAGAAUUUUGACUUGUUUGACUUCAGAAUUUGUAAACCCUGACAUGGUACCUUUUGUUUUGCCCAGUGUUCUACUGAUCAUUGAGGAAUGCACCAAAGAAGAAUAUGUCAAAUUAAUUCCACCUGAACUUGGUCCUGUGUUUAAGCAGCAGGAGCCAAUCCAGAUUUUGGUAAUUUUCCGACAAAAAAAUGGAUUUGCUACUAACCAAAACCCCUCCCAAUGAGAUAAAGAACAGUGUUCUACCCAUGGUUUACAGAGCACUAGAAGCUCCUUCCAUUCAGACUAAACAUCUGUCUAAACAUUCUGUCUAAACAUCAUUCUAGCCUUUGCAAAUCUUAUAGACUACCCAUCCGUGAAACGUACUUUGAUACCAAGAAUUAAAAAUGCCUGUCUACAAAUGUCUUCCCUUGCUGUUUGUGUAAAUUCAUUAGUGUGCUUAUGAAAGAUUUUGGAAUACCUGGAUAAGUGGUUUGUACUUGAUGAUAUCCUACCCUUCUUACAACAAAUUUCAUCCAAAGAAUCUGCAGUCUUCAUGGGUAUUUUAGGCAUUUACAAAUGUACUUUUACUCAUAAGUUGGGAAUCACCAAAGAGCAGCUGGCUGGAUAAGUAUUGCCUCAUCUUAUUCCCCUGAGUAUUGAAAACAAUCUUAAUCAGUUCAAUUCUUUCAUUUCCAUCAUAAAAGAGAUGCUUAAUAGAUUGGAUUCUGAACAUAAGACUAAGCUGGAACAACUUCAUAUAAUGCAAGAACAGCAGAAAUCUUUGGACAUAGGAAAUUAAAUUAAUGUUUCUGGGGAGACAAAAGUUACAAAUAUUUUGAAUCAGCAAAUUGACAAGGUUGUUAACCACAUUGGAGCAGACCUUCUGACUGGCAGUGAUUCCGAAAAUAAAGAGGAUGGGUUACAGAAUAAACGUAAAACAGCAUCACUUACAUUUGAAGAAAAACAAAAAUUAGCAAAAGAACAAGAGCAGGCACAGAAGUUGAAAAGCCAGCAGCCUCUUAAACCUCAAGUGCAUACACCUGUUGCUACUGUUAAACAGACUGACUUGACAGACACAUUGAUGGAUAAUAUGUCAUCUUCGACUAGCCUUUCUGUUAGUACCCCUAAAUCUUCUGCUUCAAGUACUUUCACUUCUCUUCCUUCCAUGGGCAUUGGCAUGAUGUUUUCUAUACCAGUUGAUAAUGCAAAGAAAAAUUUGACAAGUGGCCUAAAUGCCAAUAUGGGCUUUCAGACUUCAGGAUUCAACAUGCCUGUUACUACAAACCAGAACUUCUACAGUAGUCCAAGCACAGUUGGAGUGACUAAGAUGACUCUGGAACCCCUCCCACUUUGCCAAACUUCAAUGCUUUGAAUGUUCCUCCUGCUGGUGCAAAGCCAACCCAACAAAGACCCACAGAUAUGUCUGCCCUUAAUAAUCUCUUUGGCCCUCAGAAACCCAAAGUUAGCAUGAACCAGUUAUCACAACAUAAACCAAAUCAGUGGUUCAAUCAGUUUGUACCUCCUCAAGGUUCUCCAGCUAUGGGCAGUUCAGUAAUGGGAACACAGAUGAACAUGAUAGGACAAUCUGCCUUUGGUACGCAGGGUAAUCCUUUCUUCAACCCACGGAACUUUGCAUAGCCACCAACUACUAUGACCAGUAGCAGUUCAGCUAGCAGUGAUUUAAAAGAUCUUUUUGGGUGAGGUGUCUUCCUUCUAUUGUGAAGGAUUAUUUCAGUUUUAAUCAUGGGUGAACUGAUUUACAUCUUUAUAUAGUUGGCUUAGAGGAACUACUUCUAUGGGAAAGUGAAUCGUUCUGUGACAGAAAACAUCUGUCACAGAUACUAUGCCAGCAUAGUAGCUGUAUGGUCUUCUAACCAGUUGAGUUUUUUUAAAGGAUUGAGGAUUUUUUUUCUCUUACCAACUCCUCUUCAGGUUUUUAAAGACCCAACCCUUCCCAAUCUCAAAGAGAAAAUGGACAACUGAGUUAUCUUGAAUAGCUGAACUUUUUAAUCAGAUGUUUACUUUGGCUUGUGAAUCUUUGUGUUAUUUAAAAAAUUGAGUGGAUGGUCAUUGCAAGCUCAUCUAUUAAGUACUACAUGGUACACAGUCUACCUUCACAAGUCGUUAGUGUUCAUUUUAAUAUGUGAAAAAUCUUGAUGCUGUACUGAUUUGCUUCCAUUUAAGACGACAGUGAGAAAAUGAUAAGCAUAAAGAGAUCAGGUUAUUUGCUUUUUCCAAACUUACUUUUCAGAUGAACUAAUGUUUAGUACAAAGAGACUGAGCAAAUACUACAAAAUUUAACUUAACCUACAUUUCCUUGGCUAACCAUCUUAAAUGUAAACUAAUCAUUGUAAAUUAUAUUUUAGCAUGGUCUGCCUCAAAUGGUCAUGUAUUUUUCUGCAUUCACUUGGAUAUAUUUAGAAUCACUUUGGUAUAUGCUGAUUUGUUUGGAUAUUUGACAAAGCACUCUGAUGUGACUUCCCUGACUACUAACUUCAUAUUUCAUUUCAAAUUCAAACUUCUGAGGUUGCAGCAUAUAUGAAUUGCAUUUUCAAAAGGAGAUUUGUAAGAAUUAAACUGUAUUUAAUGGGUAAACUUUUGAGAUUUCUGCUGUAUUGUUUCAAAUGUAAUAAACUUUACUUCUCUAAAAAAAAAAAAAAAAAAAAA